GGGGCCGUAGCUCAGUUGGGAGAGCGCUUGAAUGGCAUUCAAGAGGUCGAGGGUUCAAAUCCCUUCGGCUCCACCA
rnacentral:tRNA from 1 species